ensembl:lncRNA
UAGCACGUUAGCAUUUAUUGCAGAUGAAUCAUGAGGCACAAAACAUUUGUACUGUUACAGAACAUGAGCUGGUAAUAAAACUAAAUAAAUUAAUCACUAUGAGGUAAUGCUGCUUUAAAAAUAAACUAUGUAUAAAAUGUCAGGCAGUUAAAAAAAAAGAAAAAAAAGAAAUCAGCAUUUCUGUUGCUUGUUAUUUUUAAAAAAUAUAAAUAUAAAAUCUCUUGUGAAUCUGAGGAGCUGAAAAUGACCUCAGCGCUAAAAUGUUCGCGUUUCAACACCGUUUCUAACGCUCCCUCGUUCACGUCUUUAUUUUUCCUUUCACUUCUUCUCCUCGACUUAGCGUUUGGCAUAAAAUACCGGCUUUACUUGCACAAUACAGUAGUUUAACAACAUCUAAACACAGAACUGCGCUCAUUUUAACCAGCUAGCUCUGUAGCUAAGCUAUCAGUAACUUAGAUAACUCGACGUAAACAUUUGUAUUGUGGAAUUAAAACCCGUAGCCAUGUUCAUAACAUCGAUCAAACGUGAAGCAUUUCAAUAAAUUAUUGCUUUAUUAUACAAGCGAACAUGCUUAUAUGCUAACACAGGGUGCGUUAAAAACAGUUCUGAAACGAUCAGAAACGAGUAUAAAAUGGAUGCUUUGCAAAGCAUCAUGGGAUAUUUAGAUCCUCACUGAAAAACUUCCCUUUUCUCUCAAUCUCAUUAGCGCUAAAGAUAUAAAACUAAGAAAUAAAAAGUGCAUGCAGCUAACGCUGGUGUGGCGUCCUGUACUUUAUCUACAGAACUAGCUAGCUACUACAAAAACAACUGCCGGUGCAACGCUAACCAGCGAGCCGUGUUUCAUCCUGUAUUUCACGGAGCUAUUUAUUUAGCUGGUUAUUGUAGUUAAUUUUAGCCCCCUGUUUUAACACUAGCUAGCUUUUCCAGUUAAAAAAAAUACAAAACAAACUAGCUAGCUUUAGCAAAGUCAAUUUUGUGAACGAAUUACGUUGAUCACACUGAUGAUUUACGACAGUCCAUGAUGCCCACGCUACAAGACGAAAAACAUGCAAAUGAAUAAAAUCUUAGCGGAGUCAGAGACAAAACCGUUAAACAUUACAUGCUAAAAAACAACAAUCCUGUGCUUCUGAUGCUAAAUGCUAACUAGCAAAAACUAAAAUGAUGAGACACCUGGAAAUACAAGUCCAUCUUUGGUUCUCUGAAGUAAAUUUUAAAACUCAUGCGGUUCUGCAAUUAGCAAAAGUUUUCUAGACUUUAUCUAGAACGUUCUCCGUUCUAUUCUCCCGUUAUUGUUCUGUUUGCGUCCAGCAGUUUGGUUCUGACUCGCUUUAUCAGACGUGCUCGUGAAUUCCUUACAAAAAACCUCCCAAAACAACCGAAACCCAAAAGGUUCUUCGCGUGUCACUCUGGAGGAACGCUUACAGGUUCUUCGUUAUCGGAAAGAAUUCGGAAUAGAAUCCUUUUUUUGGAAGCGAAGAACCCUUUAUCAUCCAGUAAACGCUUAAAGAACCUUAGAAGAACCAUUCUGAAGGAGAAAGGGUUCUUCAAGGAGUGUGUGUAUUAUCUGGGUUGAACGUGUGCGGUAUAAAUUCCACAUUAUUGCUCGUUUUUCCUUCUCAGAACCUCCAACCUGACAGGAGUUUAACAUCUAGUUUCUCGAGACUUGGAACACUUGCUUGGUACUUUCUUGCGUCCUAAAAGGCUCCUGAUUGGGAAAAACACUGUUGUACGGUUCUGUGUAGAACCUUGCAGGAGUAACGAUAUACUGACAGUACGAUAUCUAUAGUUAUUAAAUGGUAAUAAAUGUAACGCUGUGUUUAGCUACACUGAUGUGCGCGUUUUUGUACCGGUUCACGUACAUGCUUGUUGUUUUUUUUUUUUUACAUUUAAUUUUUGUUUAUCAAAACUACAAAUCUAUCAAAUCUCAGUCGAUAAGAAAUAAAAAAAUAAUUUGCCGAAACGUCUGCAACCAGUCACACCGGGUGAGCGCAAGUUUGCUCGUAGCUGAGCGCAAAGCUAAACCGUCGCUACAUUCGGGGCGCUAGCUGGAGUCCGUAUGCAAUGUUUAGCUACUGCGCUGUUAGCGUCUUGGUGAUCAUUCAUGUGAAAUGUUAGCUAGCUCAUCAUGUUCACUAAACAUAUUCCUCUUGUAAUGCUAGCCUGCUAUAAUAAUUAUUAUUCUUUAAUGAUUGAACUAAUAUUCUGAAAUUAUUUACAUUCAUGACAGCCGUGAUACCAUGUGACCCUCGCGUGACGUAUUCUUCCACGUUUAAAUCGUAAACGUUAGCGGUGCGACUGGCUGCUGAGCGUUAGAUCAGACGAAACAUUUGAUCAUUCUUCACAUUUCGUAAUUAACAUGACUGCAUCAGAAAAUAGAAAUUCUUCUAACAACGUGGAGAAACAGCCAUUAAACCGAGUCUCGUUACAGCUACGGCUAAAAAACGUCAAUAUGAAAAUACGCCUAAUGCUUACGUCGAGUUAGUGUUCGUACGUUUCACGUCCGUUACAAACUAAGGUGUAAAGUAAGAGCUCCAUUAACUGGAAGGUGAACCCCAGCAGUCGCAUGUGUUUAGUGUUUAGCAUGCUAACCCGUACACGCUAAGUGCUAAUUACCAAAAAGUCAUGAUGCAUGAUUAAAAACAUGCCUACUGUUUGAGACGGAGCCAAUCGAGAUGUCACACCAAUCUCAGUCCCUGAUUGGUCGGUGUCUCUGAGGGAGCUCCAGCAAUGAACACUGCUCGGAGACGUAAACGCCCGGAGAAUAUAAAAAUAACUUUACUAGCACAUCAAAACAGCGAAAUAUAGAAAUAAAGGGUCAAGAUAAAAAAUAUCUGGCUUCUGGAGGAAGAACACGAUCCCAUGAUUCAUCUGGAUCCUCCUGGAAAAUUCCGUUCAUCCGGGUUAUGUAGGACAUAAGACUGCAGAGAGAGGACAGGACAAACAAGCUGUCAAUCACACAGUACGAGCCAAUCAGCUGGUUCAGCUAGUCUCUCCACUAAAGUCCUUCCGUCCUCCUCCGAAUCUAGUCCGUCUCCAACCCUGUGCACGCAGACCAGACCAUCUGUAAUCCAGUGCCUAAUCCAGCCCUUAAUCCAGGACCCGGAGCAGACCCUAAUCCUGACCACACCUUAAUUCUGUCCAGCCCAUAGUCCCCCCUGUCUCCUCCUACAGCCCCGAUCUAGUUCAGCCCAGCCCCUAGUCCAUCCUGUCCUGUAGUCCCCUAGUCCUGUCCAGACCCCUAGUCCACCCCCUGGCUCUUCCUGUCCCCUACUACAGCCCCUGUCUAGUCCUGUCCAACUACCAGUUUGAAUAUCAGACUGGUUCAGCCCGCCCCCUACACCAGUCCCGAGAUCACAGUCUAUAGACGAAGCCUAAACAAACCUCAAGUGUGCUGUGUUAUAAGCUGGUAGCAAUCAUUUUUUAGUGUUAGUAUAUUAUAUAUAUAUAUAUAUAUAUAUAUAUAUGUAUAUGUAUAUAUGUGUGUGUGUGUGUGUGUGUGUGUGUGUGUGUGUGUGUGUGUGUGUGUGUUGGAGAUCACACAGCGAGAUGAGAAAUGAAACUGUCUCCUCUCACCAUCUCACACCACCACUGUUGGCCAAUGCAGCGAAAGCAAAGACAAGAAUAAUCAGAGGUCAAAGCUCAACCCUCACACCAAAGUAAGGCAAAAAAGUAAAUAGUCAUUCUAGAAUCAAAAGAGGUUAAAGGUUAAAGGUCAAGGGAAGUACAAGGAGUUUAUAAACAAAUAAAACGGGAAGUGACCUGCAGUUUGUGUAUAAACGCAACAAUGUGUUACCUUUUAGGAUGUAAUCAGUCAGCAAGCUGGGAACUUUAUCACUGUCAUCCCUCAUGGCAUGUAAAACUAACACACACACACACACACACACACACACACACACGAUCACU